GUUUCAAGUGGGGCGGGAUAUCCCGCCACGCCGCUGGUCCGCCCCGCGAAGAAAUCCCACGCGGCGCCGCUAAAUAACCCGCACCUCUACUCGCGGGACAAAGCGGUCAGGCCGCAUGGUCCGCUAGAUAACCGCAAAACUGCAUAAGCCGCAAAACGGCCCCCAGUCGCGGACGCUCCCCAGUCCCCAACCUCGUUGACCAAGGGAGAUUCGACGACGCCUCUACCCCUCCGCCGAUGCCCCGACCUCCUCUUCCCAGCGCCCUCCCUCCGCAAGCCCCCUCUCGCAAUUCCUGAUGGAGGGGUCGACGGCGGCGUCGCCGCCAUCUCCACAUCGGGACCUACAUCCGCUCGCUCUUCCGCAAUACCUACAUCCUCCCUGUGCCCUUAUCUCUCCUCGAAGAACAAAGGAUCUCUGCCAUUUGUAGAAAUCGCUGCAGCUGCAAAUGAUCGUCUCCAAGCCGAUUGAGUGACUGAAUUUCUACCAGGCUGAAAUCUACUUGAAAGGGACUGCUGCGCUUCUAUUUCUACCAGGCUGAAUCUUGGUUUUCAGUCAAGAUUUUUACUUUGGUAUUGCCUCUGUAGCAGUGUUGUAUGUUUUGCUGACAUUUGUUUGUAAAAUAUUUGUUAUUGGGGUCUGUUAUAGAAAAAAGUUUCCAGCUUAGUGGUAUUUGGCAUCUAGUUAGGCUGAUUAUAUUUGUUAGACCAAGCAAUAGUAGAGCUUCUAAUCCUGUAUCAAAAUUUGUCUGUUAUGUUGUACAUCAGUCCUUUGUUCUGACUCCUGAAUCAAUAAUGUGUUCAUAUCCUGAA